GUGCAUGCGCCCUCCCCUUUUGCCAUCACUGGGUUAGGUGGACAUGAAAAGAGACAUUAUGUGAGGAGGCGUGGCCAGCGUCACGACGGGACGACGCAAACCCCGGGAAUUCCGGGAUAAGCGCCAAAAUUCCUGCCGUUUUGGGGAUUCUCAAUCAACCAUAGCUGUCCUGGAGGGACAGCGAAAAAAGAAGGCACCGGCCAGCGUGAACAGGGAAGUUGCGAAUUCCCUGCAGCACCGGCAUCCAGCCUUCGACCCAACGACAGGAAAGGCAGCCAUUAGAAGCUGCCAAAGUCGGGACGGCCACACAAGAAGAUUAAGCAGGAGGCGAGAUCAGAACAGAGUAUUGUUACUGGGCGAGCGAUUGGCCAACUCGCAGGGAGCGAACCCCACUCUCUUCUAGCACUGCAGAGGUUGCCUAGCUGGAUAAAGAAAACAUCUGUAAGAAAACAACCGAGCUCAGAAAGCAUCAAGGACUCCACGGAUAGACUGGUAUCUCAGCGUUUCUUCCAAAUACAGGAUGAAAAUGCACAAAGUGAGAAACUUCACACCAGCACAACGUUUCUGGGCGAAAUACCAAAGUGGGAGCAGCAGAUAAGAACGCAUGAAAUUCAUACUGAAGAGUAUGAAUUUGGUUUACGCCAAAUAUCUGACCUUCGGACCUUUCGCCGCGAACUGAAAACAUACUUGUUUGUUCGCGUGGGGCUUUCUUAGACUGUUUAGAUUCUGAAUUUAAAUUUUAUUUAAGUUUUAAAUUGGGUUUUUUUAGAUUUUAAAUAUUUUAAUUUUUCGGCCAAAUUGUAUAAUAAGUCUUUUAAUUUAAUUUUUAAUUGUACAUUGUUCA